AGCAUUCUGGACCGUUUGACGCAGAAGCCAGGACGGGGAUGGUGAAUUCUCAUAGCGUGGAGCAGUGGACGGUGGGGGUAGCGGUGCCUGGGGUUGAGAAGACCAUGAAGAGACACGCAGAAGUGUCUCCAGCUUCCAGAACAUUCUAUAUCACUAGAGGUGCUCAAGCAACAUGUCCAUCGAAUCUGGACUUCAGCCACCCCAUGGUUCCCUUUACACCAUUCAUCUACCUAAAAGAUCCGUGUCUGUUCUUGGGAAUUUAACAUCAAAAACCACUUCUACUCCAGAGUUUAUGGUGGAGAGAGGGACCCCACAGGCAGCUCAUGGUUCCUACUCUGCUGGUUCUCCAGCAGCACCCGCGUGUCCUCCAGGUCCCAGGUGAGGUGGUGACACUUCCUCUUCAGCUGCUCUGUCCGAGCCUUCAUCUCCGAGUCCAAUCUCUCCUCGCACUGUUGAAGGCGCUUGCGUAGGAAAUCGUUCUCCAUCUGAGCACAGUCCAAACGCAUCUGCCACUCGUCCGCUGUGUGACAGAGUCAGCAGCUGCCUCUAUUCAGCAGGAGAGAAUCCACAUAAUAGUGGGAACUGGACAAAGAUGCCCCCAUCCCAUCCAACCAUGAAUGCCAAGUCCCUAGGCAGUGGUAUAAGCAGUGCACUGAUGCUGCCUGCCUCUCACUGGGCAGCCACUCUGAGAGUCAGCCUCAACUUGAUCAUGUAUGUGAAAGCAUGCAGAGCCCAUAUUCCUCAUGGUGAAGAGGUAGCUGAUGGCUAUGGGUUAGUCUACUCCAUAUGGCCCAGCUCUGCGUGUUCAUCAUCUAGGACCAGCUACACUUGAAUGUGAGGAAUCUGGGGCUCAGGGCGACUUUGAAUAGCAUGGUAUGAUUCAAAUACAGAGGGGAAAUUAAAAUACCUGGACUCCACUGUCAUCUUCAUCAAAUAGAAGAGAAUGUAACAC
rnacentral:lncRNA from 1 species